GGAUGCGAGAGUGAUCUGGCUGCAACAUCUGUCACCCCAUUGAUUGUUAGGGUUUAUUCAGCUGAUCUGGCUGGCUAGACUGGUGUCCUCUUCCUCCCUCAUGGCUCCACGUGCAUACCUCCCAAAGCUAUGUGUACAGUUGAAGAGGACCAUUUUUUGAUGGAGGGUGUACAAGUAGCUGCACUGCCCUGCCAGAACAUCCAGACAGACUCUCAAGUACCAUUUGUAGGAGAACAUAGGGUAGUCUUAAGAUUCGACACACAUCCAAAUGAGGUCUGCCUUGCUUU
rnacentral:snRNA from 1 species